rnacentral:misc_RNA from 1 species
UUGGUUCUUCAGGUUUCUCUUCAAAUGCUAGUUCUUCAUGUGUUUCCUUCCCUGCUAGCUCUUCAGGUGUUUCUUUCGCUGUCGGUUCCUUAGGUUUCUCUUCAGCCGUUAGUUCAGGUUUCUCCUCAACCGUUGGUUCUUCAGGUUUCUCUUUAGUCUCUGAUACAUCACGUUUCUCUUCAAAAACUGGGGUUUCAGGUAUUUCUUCAACUGCUGGUUCUCCGGGUUUUUUCGCAGAUUCUGGAUAGUAAGCAGCAUCGUUGUUGGUAUUGGAUGGAAUAUCACUAUCAGUGUUGUCCUUAGUGUCUACAACUAGCAUUUUCUUCUCCAAAAGAGAUACUUUUUUGGGUUUCUCAUCUUCAACUGCUGGUUUCUCCUCAAAUGCUAGGUCCUUCUGUGAUUCUUCCUGUGUUGGUUCUUCAGGUGCUUCUUCAG